GAUGAACGCUAGCGGCAGGCUUAAUACAUGCAAGUCGAACGGUAACAUUGGUGCUUGCACCAGAUGACGAGUGGCGCACGGGUGCGUAACGCGUAUGCAACCUACCUUUUACUAGAGUAUAGCCCAGAGAAAUUUGGAUUAAUCCUCUAUAACAUCUUUUAAUUUCAUGAUUUUAAGAUUAAAGUUUUAACGGUAAAAGAUGGGCAUGCGUCCUAUUAGUUUGUAGGUGAGGUAACGGCUCACCUAGACUACGAUAGGUAGGGGCCCUGAGAGGGGGAUCCCCCACACUGGUACUGAGACACGGACCAGACUCCUACGGGAGGCAGCAGUAAGGAAUAUUGGACAAUGGACGAAAGUCUGAUCCAGCCAUGCCGCGUGCAGGAUGACAGCCCUACGGGUUGUAAACUGCUUUUAUACUAGGAAGAAACUACUCCGACGUGUCGGAGCUUGACGGUACUGUAAGAAUAAGGAUCGGCUAACUCCGUGCCGGCG
rnacentral:rRNA from 1 species